GAUGAACGCUAGCGGCAGGCCUAAUACAUGCAAGUCGAACGGUGUCUUCGGACAUAGUGGCGCACGGGUGCGUAACACGUAUGCAACCUACCUUACAUUGGGGGAUAGCCUUUCGAACGGGAGAUUAAUACCGCAUAAGACAGUAACUAGGCAUCUAGUAGCUGUUAAAGAUUUAUCGAUGUAAGCUGGGCAUGCGUCCAAUUAGCUAGUUGGUGAGGUAACGGUUCACCAAGGCAAUGAUUGGUAGGGGAACUGAGAGGUCAAUCCCCCACACUGGCACUGAGAUACGGGCCAGACUCCUACGGGAGGCAGCAGUAGGGAAUAUUGGGCAAUGGACGCAAGUCUGACCCAGCCAUGCCGCGUGCAGGAUGAAGGCGUUAUGCGUUGUAAACUGCUUUUAUACAGGAAGAAACGACUCUUGCGAGAGGCAUUGACGGUACUGUAUGAAUAAGCACCGGCUAACUCCGUGCCAGCCGCCGCGGUAAUAC
rnacentral:rRNA from 1 species